rnacentral:rRNA from 1 species
UACGUAGGGUGCGAGCGUUGUCCGGAAUUAUUGGGCGUAAAGCGUCCGCAGGUGGACAUACAAGUCUGCUGUCAAAGUGCAGAGCUUAACUCUGUAAAGGCGGUGGAAACUGUAGGUCUUGAGUAUGGUAGGGGUAGAGGGAAUUCCCGGUGUAGCGGUGAAAUGCGUAGAUAUCGGGAAGAACACCAGUGGCGAAAGCGCUCUACUGGGCCAUAACUGACACUGAGGGACGAAAGCUAGGGGAGCGAAAGGG